UUCUUCCUAUAAAGACACCAGUCAUAAUAAAUAAGGACACACAUUAGUGAUCUCAUUUAGCCUUAAAUACCUAUUUAAAAACCCCAUAUCCAAAUAUAGUCACAUUCUGAGAUACUGGGGUUUGGGACUUCAACAUGUGAAUUUUGGGGAACUUAAUUCACCCUAUAACAGGGGUUUAGAGGAGAAGCACUGGGACCCUGGUUAAAGAUUAAGAAUUCCUCAGCUUUACUCCUGAAUAUUGAUUCAGUAGGCCAAGAGAGUUGCAUUUUUCAUGUGUCUAAUAGCUAGGACUUGCUUUUAGCUAGUGUCAGGUGAUCAUCAUCUUAAGCUAGCUCAAUCAACAUGGAGGACGUAUUGUCCCACACAAAUAAACAUUUCAAGAAUAGGGUUUUAGAGGUACCUUGAAUAAGGUCUGAAUACAACAGCUUAGAUUCUCUUUUUACAUUCCUCCCAUCUGCUUUCUCAGUGUGGCUUCCAUUUCUCAGUCCCCUUGUGGCUGGAAGAUGCCUUGACCCAGCCCCCUAUGUUUACAAAGGUUCACGUUUAGUGGAGGUGGAGGCAAAUCAUUUAACAUUUUACCUGUGAAGUGGCAAGGUAGCUCUUAAAUGGCAAAAAUGGAUCUUAAGUGGCAAAACAAAUGAGGAAUAGGUGAAUUUCUGCACUGUGGAACCUGAAAGAGCCAAUUUACAUACACAUAAAGAUACAAAAUAUACAAUUAUACAAAACUGUAAUUCCAAGUUUGUUUUAGUAAUAGGCAAAUAAUACUAAUAGUGUUUACUUAGUGCUACCUGUCAGCCCCUAGCUUGAAUACUUCACAUGUAUAUUUAAUACAUUAGGUGCAGUUAUGAUCACCAUUGUUCAGAUAAGGAAACAAAGUGGGCCAGAGUCUAUAUCCCUUGCCCAAGGUAGAGCCAGUGAGAGCCAUGAGGAGGCAGAACUGGGAUUCGAGUCUUUGUCUUUGGAGUCCUUAUUUGCUAAUGCCACUUUUUGCAGCCUCCUCGACGCAGACACAGAGGGUAUCAGAGUUAUCCAUCUCUAGUAGAGCUGAACUCACUCAAAUUUCAUGAUACGACAGUAACGUCGGGGAUGAAAGAAAAGUUAUAUUAUUUAUUUUAAUUAUGCACAUACACUAGAAAGACCCACUGAUCUGACUUUAGUUUGAAAAGCUGUUUUCCAAAUUUAAUAUGCAUGAGUUCAUUUUAUCUCACAGCACUGACAAACGGACCCAUCACAAGGUAACUAUUAAUACUUAUUAAGGAUAUGUUAAUUCAAUUCAAUGUGGGCAAAAGGGGAAAAAAAGAGUUAAAUAAUGCUGCUUUAGCCCCUCCUUGAGCUACGAAUCUUAUCUAAUAAUGAGGUCACUUGAAAACCUUACCAAUCGGCAAACUGAGAAGCCUGACAUAAAUACUACCCAGUCAGUAUUCAGUGUGUCUUGUCUUUAUUUGAUAAAGUAUAUUUCUUUCACUAUUGAAUUGCAGCAAAGGUGUAGGUCUUUCCCUGGAAUUUGAGCAGAAUGCUUUGUCCUAUUGCUAAGAAAAUGCAUAUAAGUGCCUGAGACAGUUUAGUGGUCUUUACCAAAAAUAGCUUGGCCUUUUGACUCACCCAGGCUGCCAGUAAACUCUGUAUUUUUUCCCUCUCUCCACAGAUAUGCUAAAUCUGGUAACAUCACGUCAGUGCAUUCCGAAUUGGAUGCAACACUGAAUUUGUUUUAAUUUGGAAAUCCUUGUUAUCAGUUCAUAUGUUGAAUCAGAGAACAUUGGGACAGGAAUGGUCUAGCAGAUUAUUUAGCCCAGCCUCAUGGACUUAUAGAUAACAAAAGAAAAUAUAAGAGAUGUUAAAUGACCCACACAAGACCACAUUGCUGAUGAGAAACAGAUUCAAAGUAUUUAUGCCUCAAGUGACACAGCAAAAUCAUGAUGAAAACAGAGUCCGGACCCAGCUGCAACUGAUUCUGAAAGCUAUUCUCUACUCACUGCCUUCUAAAGAAAUCUCUUUGUAGGCUGUUCUUUUGCUAUAACUCUUCCUCCAUUUUUGGUCGUGUUUGAUAACUGUGUCAUAGUGGAAAAAUUUGAGAAGGUGACAAGGAGUAGAAGAUUGAAAAGAGAAAGAAAAUAUCAACUACGAAGAUGGCACAGUAAGGAGAAUAAAAACAAAAGGCUGGUAUUUUGGCUGGUGAUCAAGGAAAUGGUGUUCUGAAGCAAGGCAGGUUAAAUUUUGCCUAGAUGCUAAAUCCCAGUAGUGACAUUGUAUAAAUUGGAGGA